rnacentral:rRNA from 1 species
CCCGAGUGCAUUAGCUAGUUGGUAAGGUAACGGCUUACCAAGGCGAUGAUGCAUAGCCGAGUUGAGAGACUGAUCGGCCACAUUGGGGACUGAGACACGGCCCAAAACUCCUACGGGAGGCAGCAGUAGGGAAUCUUCCACAAUGGACGCAAGUCUGAUGGAGCAACGCCGCGUGAGUGAAGAAGGUUUUCGGAUCGUAAAGCUCUGUUGUUGGUGAAGAAGGAUAGAGGUAGUAACUGGCCUUUAUUUGACGGUAAUCAACCAGAAAGUCACGGCUAACUACGUGCCCAGCAGCCGCGGGUAAU